GACAGAGGGUGCAAACGUUGUUCGGAAUUACUGGGCGUAAAGCGUGUGUAGGCGGCCAAGCAAGUCGGAUGUGAAAGCCCAGGGCUCAACCCUGGAAGUGCACUCGAUACUGCCUGGCUUGAGUAUCGGAGAGGUUGGUGGAAUUCUCGGUGUAGAGGUGAAAUUCGUAGAUAUCGAGAGGAACACCGGUGGCGAAGGCGACCAACUGGACGAAUACUGACGCUGAGACACGAAAGCGUGGGGAGCAAACAGG
rnacentral:rRNA from 1 species